GUGAACGCUGGCGGUAGGCCUAACACAUGCAAGUCGAACGGCAGCACAGUAAGAGCUUGCUCUUACGGGUGGCGAGUGGCGGACGGGUGAGGAAUACAUCGGAAUCUACUUUUUCGUGGGGGAUAACGUAGGGAAACUUACGCUAAUACCGCAUACGACCUACGGGUGAAAGCAGGGGAUCUUCGGACCUUGCGCGGUUGAAUGAGCCGAUGUCGGAUUAGCUUGUUGGCGGGGUAAAGGCCCACCAAGGCGACGAUCCGUAGCUGGUCUGAGAGGAUGAUCAGCCACACUGGAACUGAGACACGGUCCAGACUCCUACGGGAGGCAGCAGUGGGGAAUAUUGGACAAUGGGCGCAAGCCUGAUCCAGCCAUACCGCGUGGGUGAAGAAGGCCUUCGGGUUGUAAAGCCCUUUUGUUGGGAAAGAAAAGCAGCAGGUUAAUACCCCGCUGUUCUGACGGUACCCAAAGAAUAAGCACCGGCUAACUUCGUG
rnacentral:rRNA from 1 species